CAGCUCUGAAGCUGUCAAAGUUCUCACAUGGACCUAAGGCUGAGCAGACAGAUUUGUAACUGAUUCCAAGUCCUUAAAAUUGCCUUUAGAAAUAAUAAAGAAAUAAUUUUGCUUUUUUGACCACAGAUGCCAGGAUUACAAUAUUUAUCUUUGACUACAGAACACAGAACACUGAGCUUCAUUCAUUCACUUACACCAGCAGUUCAACUUAUUUUGUUGGAGAUAAUWUUCAUGUGUGCUUUGGAAAGAAAAAGAAAGGAGCCUGAGAUAUAAAACUUCUAACAUGUCUAAAAAAGGACUGUAAUAUGUUGAAUAUUUCUCAAGAAAUGAUUGGUAACUUUAUAGAAAUAGCUUUGAUGCAAAACUUGUUUCUUGUUUUAUAGGAAGAAG